UGUUGUUGAUAUUUGGAUACACUGGCCAUGAAGGUCAAAUAAACAGGAAGGAAGAUAAUCUUUAUGCUCUGUUGGCAAGGACUGGCUGUGGCUUUCUCCCAGCUUGCUUCCCUAAGAUGAAGGAGCCAAAAUUUUUUCAGAGGUAUAUGGUAGUUGUCCUUUGCCCUGCUGCUGGACACCCCUAGUGUCAUAUGGUUUAUUCUUAGGAACAUCAACUCUGCCUUCAUGAAAUAAGCCUGGUGCCUGGGGCCACAGCCACCUCUGGAGACAACACUGAAGAUUUCCACACAUGUGAUCCAUCUUCUUCUUGGCUGCAUAGCCCUCAGUGCUGGAAUUGGAGACAUGGUCAAGCAGCCCUUGCCGAGCCUGCAGAGAGCUGCUGGCCUGAAGGUGAGCAGGAGUAUUUCCAUGGAGAUGUUUUCCACAGGAGCAGGAGGGCCCCCAGAGUGCCUGCUCCCAGCAGGGCUCCCAGCAGGAC